GAAGGUGUAGAUCAGUGGUAGAACACUUGCCUAGCAUGCAUGGGGCCCUGGGUUUGAUCCCCAGCACUGAGG
rnacentral:tRNA from 1 species